AAGUUGUGAGCAGAGACAUCUUUUUUUUCUGAAGACUUCAGGGGAGGAUAUGUCCCAGGCCUUUCCCUCAGUUUCUGGUGCUAGCUACUCCGGAUGUCACUUAGAUAUGUCAUUACAAUCUCUGCCCGUAUCUUCACAUAGAGUUUCAUCACUGAAUAUCCACUGAGAGUUCUCCAUGGACAAGAGCAGAGAUGCUAGCUUUGAGGUGACAUACAGGCUUGGACCAAGGACAUCUGUGGCCAUCAGGGAAAGAAGUGCAGUGAGCCAGCCCCUGGAAAGAAUCAUAAGCUAUGAAGUGAGUCAUUUCGCUCCACCAUCCACCUCCACCGUGCUGUGCUGCUUCACCACAACCUCGGAAGCAGUGAGGCCAAUUUGAUCAC